CGCAUGCGCAACUCCCGGGAGCAGCAUGGCUGCGGGCAGGGUUCUGGUCCCGGCAGCGGCGGCAGCAGGAAGAAGAAGAGGAACGCCUGGCAGAGAUGGGUAAAGAAGAGAAAGGGGAAGAAACAAGACCAGAAAAACAGUGAGGAAGAUGCUAGUGAAGAGCAGGGAGAAGAGAAGCAUCAGUCUCCAGGUCAGGCAAGAAACUGCCCCUCCCAGAGCAGAGUCCCAGAAAAAGGAGGAAGGCGAGAAGUUGCAGUCUCAGGAUCCCAAAGGAAACAGAGAAACUGUGAAAGUGGAAGAACCAUCCAAAAGGUCCGGUGACAGCACAGUUACUAAAACAGAGGAGGGGAAGAAACACCCAAGAAGCAGAAGAUUGUCUGGGAGACCCCUGUGGAACUGGUUGCAAAUGAUGUGCCUGACCUGCUGGAGGGCAAACUGAAGAGCUUGAUGAAAAAGGAUGUUUGGAGUGGCUCUGCCGGGUUAAAGCUCCAGACUCCCAGAAUUAAUGAUCAGAGAUCUAGAGAAACAGGAAAGAGAGAAAAUCGGCCAGCAGCUUGGAGUCAUUCAUCUUUGAGACCCACUUAAGAGAGGGAUAUAAAGAAAUGAGAAUGCCUGGAGAGCAGGCAUUCCCUCAUUCCUUGCUAUGCCUCCCCAUCCAGCCACCUCUCCCUUUUUCCCUUUCUCUCCUGCUCUGUGACCCCUUUUCUCUCUUCCUCCGUCUCUGUCCUCUGGCCCAUUUCUGGUUUUAGUUUUUCUCCUUCUUGGUCGCUCCUUACAGAGCUGACACUUU